UAGGGAAUCUUCGGCAAUGGACGAAAGUCUGACCGAGCAACGCCGCGUGAGUGAAGAAGGUUUUCGGAUCGUAAAACUCUGUUGUUAGAGAAGAACAAGGACGUUAGUAACUGAACGUCCCCUGACGGUAUCUAACCAGAAAGCCACGGCUAACUACGUGCCAGCAGCCGCGGUAAUUCGUAGGUGGCAAGCGUUGUCCGGAGUUAUUGGGCGUAAAGCGAGCGCAGGCGGUUUCUUAAGUCUGAUGUGAAAGCCCCCGGCUCAACCGGGGAGGGUCAUUGGAAACUGGGAGACUUGAGUGCAGAAGAGGGGAGUGGAAUUCCAUGUGUAGCGGUGAAAUGCGUAGAUAUAUGGAGGAACACCAGUGGCGAAGGCGGCUCUCUGGUCUGUAACUGACGCUGAGGCUAGAAAGCGUGGGGAGCAAACAGG
rnacentral:rRNA from 1 species